ensembl:lncRNA
GGAAUAAUCCACUCCCCAGAACGCCUGCUUCCUUCCCCUGGCCAGCAGAGGCUUAAAAGCUGCUAGAAACCAGUGACUCUUCACCCCGGUGGAUCACUAACAGCAGAACAGACUUGACCUUCAUUUGGCUUCUGUCUCCUUCACCACCUUAAACCUGCGGGUUAGGCCCUUGCUCAGCUCUGCAUAUGGGAAGGACGGGACGUUAAUCCCUCAGGGAACAUCUGCUAAGAGCUGGCGCUGUCAGGUCCCUGGUGCUCCGCUGCCACAACUGACCUCACUCCCUUGGAGAAGGGGCACCAGUGGAGCCUCAGCAGAUCGCAGACUGCAGAGCAGAAAGAAGCAGGCACGGCAGGGAGGCCGGAUGCCCGCAAGCAAGGGUCUCUCUGGGGCCAUCGUGCAAAACCAGAACCACAACGACCACCCAGACUCGCUUCUGAAGCGCUCCCUCUCCGAUCCUCUCCGUCAGAACUGCGCCCCCUUCAGUUGGUCACACCGGGUCCCUUCCCAUUUCCUUACUUUCUAAAUCCCCCCCCCCCCCCCGCCCAUGCGCCCUGAAAUGCUUUUCUGUGAGGAGCCAUCAACAACUUGCUUGGGCAGAGUCCA